rnacentral:rRNA from 1 species
UAGGGAAUCUUCCACAAUGGACGCAAGUCUGAUGGAGCAACGCCGCGUGAGUGAAGAAGGUUUUCGGACCGUAAAGCUCUGUUGUUGGUGAAGAAGGAUAGAGGUAGUAACUGGCCUUUAUUUGACGGUAAUCAACCAGAAAGUCACGGCUAACUACGUGCCAGCAGCCGCGGUAAUCGUAGGUGGCAAGCGUUGUCCGGAUUUAUUGGGCGUAAAGCGAGCGCAGGCGGAAGAAUAAGUCUGAUGUGAAAGCCCUCGGCUUAACCGAGGAAUUGCAUCGGAAACUGUUUUUCUUGAGUGCAGAAGAGGAGAGUAGAACUCCAUGUGUAGCGGUGGAAUGCGUAGAUAUAUGGAAGAAUACCAGUGGCGAAGGCGGCUCUCUGGUCUGCAACUGACGCUGAGGCUCGAAAGCAUGGGUAGCGAACAGGAUUAGAUACCCUGGUA